UACAGAGGUCCCAAGCGUUGUUCGGAUUCACUGGGCGUAAAGGGUGCGUAGGCGGUUUGACAAGUCUGAUGUGAAAUCCCGCAGCUUAACUGCGGAACUGCAUUGGAAACUGUUUGACUAGAGGAAUGGAGGGGAGACUGGAAUACUUGGUGUAGCAGUGAAAUGCGUAGAUAUCAAGUGGAACACCAGUGGCGAAGGCGAGUCUCUGGACAGUUCCUGACGCUGAGGCACGAAAGCGUGGGGAGCAAACAGG
rnacentral:rRNA from 1 species